rnacentral:rRNA from 1 species
UACGGAGGGGGCUAGCGUUGUUCGGAAUACUGGGCGUAAAGCGCGCGUAGGCGGACCUGCAAGUCGGGGGUGAAAGCCCGAGGCUCAACCUCGGAACUGCCUUCGAUACUGCGGGUCUGCAUUCGAUACGGGCAGGCUAGAGUUCGGUAGGGGAGACUGGAAUUCCUGGUGUAGCGGUGAAAUGCGCAGAUAUCAGGAGGAACACCGGUGGCGAAGGCGGGUCUCUGGGCCGAUACUGACGCUGAGGAGCGAAAGCGUGGGGAGCGAACAGG